AUUUAACGUCUUGCUUUUUCUUCCCUUGUCUGUGAAAUGAACAUCUCCUAGGACUGUAGAGAGAGUUGACAUGCUCUUGAAGUUGCCUAACUCAGUGCUAGACACACGCAGAGAUCGGAUAAUCAGAUGGAUUGACAAAUAAGUACAAAAAGAACAACUUGGAACUCUGCAGUCAUUAAUGUCAAGUCCAACUCCCAUGGAAUCAGUGUCCUCCAGCUUUGAUGUGCACAAGAAAUAUCUGGGUGUCAUAAGAAGAACUUUGUCUACUUCUCCUGAGACAGGGUUUCUCAUUGGUCUGGAACUCACCAAUUAAGCUAGAUUGGUUG
ensembl:antisense Gm15496 predicted gene 15496